rnacentral:rRNA from 1 species
UACGUAGGGGGCAAGCGUUGUCCGGAUUUAUUGGGCGUAAAGAGCGUGUAGGCGGCCUUACAGGUCAGCUGUGAAAACUCGAGGCUCAACCUCGAGACGUCGGUUGAAACCGUAAGGCUAGAGUCCGGAAGAGGAGAGUGGAAUUCCCGGUGUAGCGGUGAAAUGCGCAGAUAUCGGGAAGAACACCCGUGGCGAAGGCGGCUCUCUGGGACGGUACUGGACGCC